AGGUAGUGUCUUUAUAUUGUGCCGCUGAUAUGCUAUUUUGAAAUCAGCUGCAAUCUAGAAAAGCAAACAGUAAUUAACAUUUCGAGGAGUCGCUGUAAUACUUCUUAAAUCUCCAUUUUAAACUAGUUUAGACGAGCAUUUUCGCCAGCUUCAAAUAAAUAUCUAUCUUAAUACCAAAUCCAUUGACAUUUCUGGUGGUUCCCCCAAGGGAAACAACAAUAUCAACAAUGGCAAGCAACAACAAUAGUUGGGGAGAUCAAUUAGAUGCACCCGUGGGCUUGAAACCCAAAAUAAAAUCAAAUUUAAAUCCAUAUGCCAAAGAAUUUUAUCCAUCGUACAAAUUGCAAUCACCAAAGCUUCAAAAAUCAAAGUUGAGCGGCAAUAUGGAAGCUUGUGUGCAUAGCACGAUUGAGGAAAAAACAACAAAGACCAACACUACACAAUUUAUAGCUCUAAGCAGUUUAGAUGGACAAGUUAUAAUGAUAAAAUACACAGAUACCGUGCAAACUUCAAAACAUGUAAUGACAAUGUGUCUCGCAAAAAAUAUCGCAUCUCCAACAUGUAAUUGUUGCAGUAGUAACAAUAAAAAGUUUCGGGCUACGCUAACUGAAGCUGCAAAUCAAAAUUUACAUUGUUCUAAAACUGUCCUUGGGAGAAAAGUUUUGGCUGAAGAUAAUUUCUUCGAUUUUAACAUUGGACUAGAAAGAGACUUUCGAUACCAAUAAAAUGAUCUAUGCAAUCCCCACCAAAGAAACAUGUUUGCGGUACUUAUGGACUUGUCAACAUCUUAGAAAGCCCUGAAAUUCAAACAAGCAAAUAUGAAUUUAUAAGCACUGUUAUUUUAUUUACUUUUAUGUGAAUUUAAUUUUAUGUGAAUUUUGUUAAAACGUUGUUUGAAUUUGAUAAAGCGUUGUUGUUUUUGUUUUUAUGACAUUUUAUAAAAACCUGUGUCUUAGCUAAUGUUACGUGAAGUAUUCUGUCAGAAUUUUUUUUGUUAUAGACAAUAAGUUUUUAGUUUCUUGAAAA
rnacentral:sRNA from 1 species